rnacentral:lncRNA from 1 species
CCCAGCUGAGGCAGGAAGUACGCUUCUUAAGGUCAGCGGCCUCUUAGACGAGGCAAGCAGAAACUCGGGACCUGUCCUGUGCUUACAGACUCCAAGACUCGUUUAGGGACCACACAUGGUGGCCUCCUUGGCGACCCCACGGCCGAGGGGAGUCUUGGAACUGGCGCUUGGAGGGGGCGGAGGGUGUCUGUCUUUCUAAUUGAUGAUCAGAGGAGGUCUGGGUUCUAGCGUCAGAUCCAUCAGCUCGAGGUGCUUCCUAAGCCCGCUGGGCAAGGGUUCGGGGCUCCGACAAGGUCUGUGGAAGACUCGGGAUGGGAAGGGACG